AUAUAAUGCGGCUGCCCCUACUUCCUUAAAGGAAUGGCUUUUACUCAAUUAGAAAUUUGAUCAAUAAGUAAACCCACAGAAAAAUGAAGCUUAAAAAUUUGAAACUAUUCAAUUCCAAUCUCCAGCAUAAUAUUUUUUGAAACGAAAGUUGAAAAAAUAUUACUCUCAUUAUUAUUUAAUAUGGUCAUCCAAGGUAUUAACAUUGAAUGUAUGAAGAUCCCGCCCGUGCUCAACUUUUAAAGAAUCAGAAAGGAAUGUUCAGCACUUUCAUGCUCUAAAUAUAGACUUAGAAGCUGUGAGAGGAGAAAGACAGACAUGGCAGCACAACAAUGACUUGGUGUCUGGAGGCCGGCAAGAACAGUAGGCUAUUCUGUGGAAAAGUCAUUUCCUAUCAAUAGAAGUUUCCAGAAACAGAAAAAGGCUGAUGCUAUUCCCAGAAAUCCAGGUAUAGCCACGGCACCACACCCUCUAGGCUGGAAUUACUGGGUGGCAAGGUAGCAGCCAGGAUGAAGUGCACACCAAUGGAGCUGUCUACCUCCAUCUCAAACCCUAAUUUCUGGGAAACGCCCUCUCCCCCCACAAGUCAUAUGGUAACAGAAAACACCCCUGGCAGCCGUUUGUGCAAUAGAUUUCUUGGGCAAUGGGGUACUUGCUUAGAGUUGCGUUGUGAUUAUGUAACUUUGAAGCAUACGAAGAGGAAAAUGAAAGUUGGUCUGUAUAGACGGAAUUUUCCUGCAGAACUUCUGUGGUUUUUCUCCACUUGAAAACCUGAAGCAGAAUCGCACUUCAGAUAAUCAGGACAUUUUAGCUUUAAACGCAUCCUGUACCUAGUACUGAUCAAUACAGCUUUGCCGGAGGAAUGUUCUGACAAACUUGCCUCCUCAUGUAUGAUAAAAGAAUGAGCCAGAGUCAAUCAAGCUCAAGUCUUUGACCAGGUCUAAGAGGAAAAUAAACCAAUUGAAGCUCACAGAUUCCCCCGAAGCCCUGCAAAGCAGUCUGCAGUAGUUCAGAUGAAGCUCAAGUGAUAAUCUGACUUCAUCCCCUCCCUACUCCUAGGGCUUUUCCAGAAUGAUGAGGAGACCCACAGCGGAGCCAUGAAGCAGCAGAGGCUAUGAACCACAUAUAUGGGAGGAUGGAGGGUCUGCACUAUGGAGAGUCCACCACCUACUGAGAAGAGCAGUAUGGGGCCAACAUCUCUAGUCCCUUUUUCUCAAUCAGCUGCACCCAAUGCAUGGGCCACAGGUAGAACAGCAGAGUGAAAAGAACACAGGCUUUGGAAUCAAUGAGACCCACUUUUGUACCCCGGCUCUGCCACUUCUGGCUAUAUGACACCAGACGAGUUUCCUUCGUAC